CAGAGGUACUGCUAUCUGRGAUUCGACUAAGCCAUGCGAGUUGAAUGUUCUUCGUGAACAUGGCGGACUGCUCAGUAACACGUGGACAACCUACCCUUGGGUCCGGCAUAAUCCUGGGAAACUGGGAAUAAUUCCGGAUAGGUCACCGAUGCUGGAAUGCGCGGUGGCCGAAAGCUCCGGCGCCCGAGGAUGGGUCUGCGGCCUAUCAGGGUUGUAGUGGGUGUAACGUACCUACUAGCCUACGACGGGUACGGGUUGUGAGAGCAAGAGCCCGGAGAUGGAUUCUGAGACACGAAUCCAGGCCCUACGGGGUGCAGCAGGCGCGAAAACUUUACAAUGCGGGAAACCGUGAUAAGGGGAUCUCGAGUGCCAGCAUAUAAUGUUGGCUGUCCAGAUGCCUAAAAAGCAUCUGUUAGCAAGGGCCGGGCAAGACCGGUGCCAGCCGCCGCGGUAACACCGGCGGCCCGAGUGGUAACCGCUAUUAUUGGGUCUAAAGGGUCUGUAGCCGGCCAGGUAAGUCCCUUGGGAAAUCUGGCAGCUCAACUGUCAGGCUGCUAGGGGAUACUGUUUGGCUUGGGACCGGGAGAGGUGAGAGGUACCUUGGGGGUAGGGGUGAAAUCUUGUGAUCCUCGAGGGACCACCAGUGGCGAAGGCGUCUCACCAGAACGGGUCCGACGGUAAGGGACGAAAGCUAGGGGCACGAACCGGAUUAGAUACCCGGGUAGUCCUAGCCGUAAACGAUGCUCGCUAGGUGUCAGUCACGGUGCGACCGUGAUUGGUGCCGUAGGGAAGCCGUGAAGCGAGCCACCUGGGAAGUAUGGCCGCAAGGCUGAAACUUAAAGGAAUUGGCGGGSRRSCACUACAACGGGUGGAGCCUGCGGUUUAAUG
rnacentral:rRNA from 1 species